AAAAAGGGUGCUCGUCUUUGCACAAGACACAAUUCUUAAAACAGAGUUUUACUUUUAAAACUCUGCGUGCAGACGCAUUGCAGCAUUACUAUUCAAUUUAAAGCAUUAGCAGAAGCAUUCGAUUAUUUUCGAUGUUUUUUUUUGUUAAUGUGAAUAGUUCAAAUGCUCCAGUGGGGUAUGGCUUUGCAUAUCCAGUGCAUAAUUUUUGUAAAAAUGGGAAUAGGGGCUG